GUAUUUAAUUUAAAGUCUAAUCUGCCCACUGAUUUUUAAUUAAAGGGCUGCAGUAAUUUUGACUGUACAAAGGUAGCAUAAUCAUUAGUCUUUUAAUUGAAGACUUGUAUGAAAGAUUUGAUGAGAUAUAAACUGUCUCUUUAUUACAAUUAAAAUUUAAUUUUUUAGUUAAAAAGCUAAAAUAUUUUUAAAAGACGAGAAGACCCUAUAGAGUUUUAUAGUUUUUAUUAUAAAAUAUUUAUAUAAAAUUUUAAUGUUAUAUUAUAAAAAUUAUUUUGUUGGGGAGAUAAAAAAAUUAAAUAAACUUUUUUAAAUAUUUUCAUGAAUAAUUGAGUAAUUGAUCCAUAUUUAUUGAUUAAAAGAAAAAAUUACCUUAGGGAUAACAGCGUAAUAUUUUUUUUUAGUACAAAUAAGAAAAAAAGUUUGCGACCUCGAUGUUGGAUUAAGAUAAAAUUUAAAUGUAAAA
rnacentral:rRNA from 1 species